GAAGUCGUAACAAGGUUUCCGUAGGUGAACCUGCGGAAGGA
rnacentral:rRNA from 7 species